AGACAGAGCAAAUGGAAACCUGUUGAACUUGUCUUUCUGGGAGAGGACUCUAAUUGGCCAAGCAGAUGUUGUGUUUUUAUUUCUCCACGGUUGGUCAUUUGGGGGCGCCCGCCUUCCGUCGUUCUCAAGGAUGCUGCUAGGAUCUGGUGUCCAAGUGUCUGUUUAAGUCCCUGCUUCCAUGCCUUUGCUGGGUCACGUGGUUCUCGGUGUUUAACCUUCUGCAAAGCCUUUGUCAGGGCUGUUUUGACACAAGAAUAGGCUCCCAGAGGUAAGCAGUUUCCUCCGGCAGACUCUCUCACCGUUCUCCACGUCCCCUUAGCAGCUUCCAAAAUAACGAUACAACUGAUCGUGAACUGAAAUCUUCAGUACUGUGAAACCAAGAUUAACCUGUCUCUUUUCUGUGAGCUGAUUAUCUCAGUUAUUUUGCUAUAUUAAUGAGAAGCUAGCGGACCCCGUAAACGAUAAA